rnacentral:rRNA from 1 species
AGAUACCCGUGUAGUCCUAGCCGUAAACGAUACUCGCUAGGUGUCGGCCACGGUGCGACCGUUGUCGGUGCCGUAGGGAAGCCGUGAAGCGAGCCACCUGGGAAGUACGGCCGCAAGGCUGAAACUUAAAGGAAUUGGCGGGGGAGCACCACAACGGGUGGAGCUUGCGGUUUAAUUGGAUUCAACGCCGGAAAUCUUACCGGGACCGACAGCAACAUGAAGGCCAGGCUGAAGACUUUGCCGGAUUAGCUG